rnacentral:rRNA from 1 species
GACGAACGCUGGCGGCGUGCUUAACACAUGCAAGUCGAGCGGUAAGGCCCUUUCGGGGGUACACGAGCGGCGAACGGGUGAGUAACACGUGGGUGACCUGCCUUUAGCUCUGGGAUAAGCCUGGGAAACCGGGUCUAAUACCGGAUAUGACUCCGCGGCGCAUGUUGUGGGGUGGAAAGCCUUGUGCGGCUGGAGAUGGGCCCGCGGCCUAUCAGCUUGUUGGUGGGGUGAUGGCCUACCAAGGCGACGACGGGUAGCCGGCCUGAGAGGGCGACCGGCCACACUGGGACUGAGACACGGCCCAGACUCCUACGAGAGGCAGCAGUGGGGAAUCUUGCGCAAUGGGCGAAAGCCUGACGCAGCGACGCCGCGUGAGGGAUGACGGCCU